CUCUUAUUCAGAGUGGUGGAGAUACAUAGGAUCCGUGAAGCCACGGCAACCCCCAAAGCGGUAGGUGCCAACCUGAGCGAGUAUGUUCGAACAAUAAGAG
rnacentral:ncRNA from 19 species